UUGAGAUCAAUGAGAGUAAUGGAGGAGGCAUCUGAUGUCUGAACAUCAGUGAGAUUUGGACGGUCGGAGAAGGGUCUGAUGUAGUUUGAAGGGACAUGGUUCACACCAGACAUGAGGUCUGUGAGCAGUAGCUUUGUUGUGGAAGCCAUUUUGCUUACGACUGAAGAGAAAAGUUGCAAAACUAAGGAAACUUGCAGGUUUAGUGAACGGGGCUUUGGAUCCCUAUCCCUUUUUAUAGAAUAUGAGGAAGCACUAUUAUAUAGAAAAUGUUUUUUUUCCCCAAAAUUGUCACAUUAGUUUAAGAACUAUAUAUAUGCCUUGAAGGGUAAUUGCUAGAGAGGUUAAAUUUCUAAGUUAAAUUUUGUAAUGCCUUGAAUUAUUAUUUUAGUCUUGAUUAACGUACUUAUUUUUUAUUUAUGAUAUAUCAUUUGGUUUGUAAAUUUAAUUAUAAAUUUUGAUCUUCCUAAUAUUAUCCGUGCUUUGAUUCGUGAAAAGUUUAGAAAAAAAAAAAUAAAAUACACAUAAAAUUAUAGAAGUCAAAGUCAAAUUAUUACUUGUACAAUUAUAAAGCUCCGCUGAGCAAUUGUUUAGCUUGUGUAACAUGAUUUAGCUCAUCAGCUCUUUAAUCUUUAUCGUGCUGGAACAAAAAAUAAAACAAAAAAUUUCGCAUCAAUCCUGCCUUUUCAUGUGAGCUCACUUUCUGCUGCUGGUAUAGUACACGCGAUAGUUUAAAACGUGCCUCUCACGUUCAACACUACAAAAUUCCAUACAGAAUUUAUUGUGUGUUGUACAUUUGAGUGUAACUUUUUCUUGUAUCUCUCAUUCACGUAUUUUGUAUAUAUUAAAUUGGCGAAAAUAAAUUAUUUUUUUAUUUAGUUGAAGUAUAGUUUAUUUUCUCUCUUAUUAUGUAAUAUAUCUUUAUAUCUAAGCUAUCAUAAGCAUAUGUUCUUUCAGUAUAGAGUACAUUUGUUUCUUAUAUCUCUCUCUUCACAUAACGUAAAAAAUGUGUCUAUCUCGUCUAUUCUAACCAUUUGCCCUUUCUCUAUAAAGAUAUGGCAAUGCAAAGGAAACCAUUAGUUAUACGGAUGUAAACUGUACGUGUCUCUCCGUUCCGCGAGUUGAGUUUUAGAUGUUCAGCCCCAAAAAGAGUUGGGUUUGGUUGUUCUAGUUGUCAGGUCGGCAUGCACCAACUGUUGCUGACGCAUGUGAUGGAGAUCCACCACCUUCUCACUAUGGAGUACAGACAGAUUUAUGAGAGGUAGGCAAAUAACAUCUUUCUGCUAUGUCAUUCACUAAUGCAAUUUAUUUGCUUAAAGGAAUAUUCAAUUUAAGAUUUUUUAGUUAAAAUAAUUCUUGAGAUUUGAAUAACAUAUAACUUUAAUCACUGAGAUUUAAAAUUAAUAGAAGUGAUCCAUGAGAUUGUCCACCAUCCAUUAUUUUGGUAAUUUCAUUAAAAAAACUCCAUCAAGUUAAGGGUAUAACACAUAACUUUGGUCCCGAAAAUUUACAUAACACAUAAUAUUGGUCCCUGAUAUUUGCAUAACACAUAACUUUGGUCCCUAAGAUUAUCCACCAUCCAACAUUUUGGUCAUUCCAUUAAAAAGCUUAGGGACAACUUAACAGAGUUUUUUAAUGGAAUGACCAAAAUAAUGGAUAGUGGACAAUCUCAAUGACCACUUUUAUUGAUUUUAUAUCUCAGAAAUCAAAGUUAUAUGUUAUGAAAAUCUCAAAGAUCAAUUUGGCUAAAAAACCUCAAUUUAAUAGAAGAGAAAUGUGAAGGAGAUUUUUAUUAAUUCUCUGUACCUCACAGUUUAACGUCAUUUCUCGUGUUAAUAUUGUAAAUAUUGUGUCAAAAACACAAAGCAUCGAAAAAUUAAUAAAUAAUCUUACUUUGAGAGAGUCUUCUUAGCAUUUCUCAUAAAUAAAUAAAAUUACUUUCGAAACAGUAAGGAAAUAGAAGGAUGAAAUACUUUUUUAAUUGAAAUAGUACUAACCUUUUAAUUUUUAAAAGGUUAGUACUAUUAUGAUUAUAUAUAUAUACACACACGAGCGCCUUUUAUGUAAAUGAAUUUUCAUUUAAAAAAAAAAUGAUGUUUAGAUGUAGGGUUCACACCACAUCAAACUUUAACUAUCUAAAAUUUUUAUUUUAUAAGUCUCAAUUCAUAGAUUAUCCUUAUAAAAAUUCAAUUCAAUCUGAACUCAUUUGCCUAUUUAAUUAUCAAGAUAAAAUUUCAUUGUUUCUUAUAUAACAAAGUAUUCAUUAAUUUAUUUGAACUCAAUUAGAUGUCUUAAACAUUUCCGAUUUGGCUAUAAUAUUUUGUAAGGAUGAUCUAUGAGGUGCAACUUAACAAAUAGACGGUUCCAAUCGUUAAAAUUCGACGUGAUGUGGACCUUACAACUAAUCCUCAUUUUUAUAAAAAAAAAUGAGAAUCCCUUCUUUUAAAUGUUUCAUAUAUAUAAAUAUAACAACAUAAUUUCUUUUGAAUCAGAUGUCAUUUGACAGUUUUGUUUUGAUAUGAGGAAACAUACGGAUGAAAAUAUUGAAUUCAAUUUACAUAGUUUUGUUUUUUUAUUUUGAAAGCUUAAGAAAAAGUUGAAUAAAAAUAGACUAUGUUGUUGCAAUCCUAUUAGAUUAGGAAUGUGAUUUUCUAAAUUUUAGUAGAUAUGGGAAUGUAUCUUAUAUUCCUAUUAGGAGUAGAUUACCUAUUAAAUGUUGUAAUCCUAAAGGGAAAGGUUUUUACCUAUCAUACUACUAUAAAUAAAGGCACAAUGGGGUGUAAUAGAACACACCCACAAUUACACAUCUCUCUUCUUCGCUAUCUAUGCCGCACCCCUCUCUCUUUAGCCUCCUUAAUUAUUCAGUAAAUUAUACCUAGAACACGUUAUCAGCACGCUAUUGACGCUGUGCUACCAAGAGAAUUUAUUCUUUAAUCUGAGGAGUAUUACGUUUUAAUCAUUCUUUUUAUAAUUAAUUUAUUAUUUUAUUGAAUUGAUCUACAUGAUAUUGAUUCAAUUUAAUUUUUUUUUGUGUUGAACGUGAUACAACGCAUUGGAAAUGCUAUUUCGGCUUUCGAGAAGGAUUUUCUACAAAUUCAAAGGCUUUUAUUGUUUUCUGCCCAUCAGGUACGCUUAAAAUAAAGUAAGAUAUUUGAAUCGACCAUGAAGCAUGAAAAUAUUCCUCAUGAUGCAUGAACCCCCUAUGUUUAUAUUUUCCUUCCGAUAUAUAUAUAUAUAUAUAUAUAUAUAUAUAUAUAUUGUAUAUGUUCAUAUAUUUGUUUCUUGCACUACGCAAUUGUAUUUGCUAUGUGGAAUUUGUGAGUCAAAUUAUAUAAAAUAAAUUAGAAGAAAUUUAGGGUUUUCAAACCCUAAUUCUGUCGAAAAAAUAUAUGGGCACUUGCAGCACCACCACCACAGACACCUUGGACCCCUCACAGUAGCAGCCCUAGGGCUUUGCUGCGCUAAUCCAGACCAUUAGACCUUUCGGCCUAUCUCUGUUUAUAGGACAUGCAGUCCCUAAGCCCAAAACCAGCAGAUUAUGGCCCAUUAUCCCGUGUCCCUUGGCCCGUGAACUCACUAGGCUUCGCCCGAAUCUCGACCUACUUGCCAGCAGCUUUGGCUGCUGGGCUUAAGUUGCCUCAGACCUAACCCGCAGGCCAACAUUUUGUUAGGCCUGAUCCGUGCCCCUCCUUUAGCCCAAAGAGCCAGCAGCUACUGCUGCUGGGCUCUAUGUUCUUGGCCCAUGGCCUGAAGACCAUUUUGUGGGCUGCUUUUAUAGCCAUACCCAACCCGAGCCCCUCAUUUGGCUCACGGCACCGAGCCUUAUCUUUUAGGCUAUGGUAUUUUCGACCCAACGCUAUUAUUUAGCAUUUUAAAUCAUUUUAACCCAAAUGUUAUUAUUAAUUUUGCUUCUACGAUCGACCCAGAAUGGUCCCGAUCUAUUGAAUUAAUUAAAAGUGACCUACAGUCCAUUAAUCUGAUAAUGAAUCCAAAAUUAUUGACCCGAAGAUCAUUUUUGGACAUUAACAAUUCAAUAGUAUAUUUUUAUACUUUGAACCGUUGACAUACUUUCGUAUUCCCGAAGCACUCACACUUGAGUUCCUGAAACAACCCAAAUCCACUACACUUAGUUGUAUAUUGCAUUAUGUGUUCUUGCAGGAACCUCUCUUUUAUGAACUAAACGUUCAUAAACUAAAUUGAACCUGUAGUGUUAAAUUUAGUGUCUUUGAAACCUGAAGAUUUCAUAACACAAUAUACCCAUGAAAACCAUGUCUUAUAACUCGAAUGUUCUAACUUUGAUGCUUAUGGAUGAUUCAUUCCCAUAACACCAAUCACAAUCUUGUUCCCUCCAAAUUUAAUGGAUUGUCGAACCGUCACAAGUUUGAUUUCCCUAAUUUGGAUGUUUCUAAUAGAAACUACUUUAUGUGGGGUACAAGACAUGAAUCUCCACUUGAUUAUCAAGAAGCUGAGAAGCCAUUGAAGUCAACAAUAGCAUGGAAGAGCUAAAUAAGCCUCCACCAUGAUCUUCAUUCGAAGACUUAUGCUCAAAGCAUUACAAAUGGAAAUACCUCUUGAUCGAGGAUUCCAUGGCUCUUUAGCUCGCUUCUACGGACUGUCUAAUCAUGAAAGACAUUGCCUAAAGCAUACCAUGAUUAGGUCCAUGAAUGAGUACAAUUCUGAAGUUUAAAAUCCGAUCGAAUUUUGACUGGAGAAUACUUUUCUCAUUUUUCCUUGUUUCUAAAUCGCCCCUAAAGUAGCAGUGUAGAUAGCGGAAGUUUACCAAAUUCUCGAAUCUAAUUACUACCAUAAACGUGAGAGAAAGGUAUGGACCCAGUUCGGCUGGAGUCUACCGAAUAGCUCGACCCAGUUCGAUCAAAGCCUACCAAAUGGUGAUACACUGCUUUGGCAGGGAUACACCGAAUGGAAUAUUCUCUCACAAUCCAAUUUUGAGUUUGUUUUUACAACAUAUGGUAGAAUCAGGGCCUGCCAAGGUGUGCAUCAUGCCCGAAGCAUGAUCCUUGGUACCUAAGACCUAAAACUUCAAGAAUAAGGGAUAGUAUUCCUAAAGCCUUAACCCUGCAGAAUCUAUUUCCGUCUCGAUGAAAUAGAUCAUUGGUUAUGUACCUAUUUGUGCCCCUACCAAUGUUGUUGAGGAGUACCAUUUUAGUAGUCAAUAUGUGAGACUAACUUUGCUUCACCAAACACCAUUGGAAGAAUAAAAUUUUGACAUGGAUGGCCUUGUUGGCCGAAUCCCCUUAGUAAACCAUUUACUUUAUGAACAUUUUUCCAUGUUCUUGGAUUCAUGUUUAGUGUAUGUUUUACUUAUGGAUAAUCUUAUUAAUAUUGUCCUCGACCAGCUGCAAGAAUCUGAUGGUCAGAUUUUACUUGAUCAUCAGAGGUUUAUGGGUUUGUUCCAAAGGCAUGUAUUGCCUUCGUUUUCUGCGGCUGUACCGCGUAAUGAAGCUCCAAAUGAUCGACCUUCGGUGCCUCCUCCUUCUGGGGUUCUACCUAGUACUGAGGCUUCGAAUAAUCACCCUUUGGUGCCUCCUCUUUCUGGGGCUCUGCCGACUGCUGAGACUUCUCUUGAGCAACCUUUGUGAAUGCUCCCUCUUGUUUGUUUAUUUUGAUUCAUGUAUAUGUACAUAUUUGUAACUUAUCGGAGAUAUCAAUCAACAAGCUUUGCUUCAUUUCAACGUAUUGUGUUAAAUACACCAAGGCCUUCUUCACUAAGUUCUUUGAAUUUUUCCUUAUGUUGAAGCUUAUAUGUUGAAGCUUUGUGAAUGAAGCAUGCAGGUUGAGGUAUUGCUCCCUUAAUUUCCUGAGUGAGGAAAACUUCUCGUUUGGAGACUUGAAAAAUCCAAGUCACUGAGUGAUCGUGAGACUUCUGAGUAUCAAGGUGCAGUAGCAUAUGGUAGGAGUCCCCCAAGUCUCCGGUCGAGGGAGUUGACGAAUGAGGCAUUUCCUUUCUAAGUGGUAGCCCAAAACUCCUUCUUCAUAUAUAUUUGUUAUGAAAGUUGUUAGGCCCAAAGAAGAGGAGGCCUAGGCAAUUUUUUUUUUCGAAAUUUGUUUUUUCGAUUUUUUUUUUCGAAUUUUCGAAUUUUUGAAUUUCCAAAUUUUUGAAUUUUCGAAUUUCCAAAAAAAAAAAUUAAAUAUAUAUAUAUAUAUAUUUUAAAGCUUUGUAGGUGAAGCUUUGGUGUUGAAUCUUUGUAGGUGAAGCUUUGAGGUUGAAGCUUUGUUGGGCGCCAUGAAUUGAUUUUGCUUCACACUAUCUUGAUCAAGAUAGUGUGAAGCUUUUGUAGGUGAAACUUUUGUGUUGAAGUUUUGCAGGUGAAGCUUUUGUGGGUCAAGCUUUUGUAGGUGAAGCUUUUGUGGGUCAAGCUUGUGUAGGUGAAGCUUUUGUGGGUCAAGCUUGUGUAGGUGAAGCUUUUGUGGGUCAAGCUUUUGUGGGUUGAAGUUUUGCAGGUGAAGCUUUUGUGGGUCAAGCUUUUGUAGGUGAAGCUUUUGUGGGUCAAGCUUUUGUGGGUCAAGCUUUUGUAAGUGAAGCUUUGGAGUUGAUCAAGAUAGUGUGAAGCUUUUGAGAAUUUGUAGUUGUCCUCCAUUGAUGAAACUUUUGUUGGUGAAGCUUUUGUUUUGAAGCUUUGUAGGUGAACCUUUGGAGUUGAAGCUUUUUUUGGAUACCAUGAAUUGAUUUUGCUUCACACUAUCUUGAUCAAGAUAGUGUGAAGCUUUUGAGAAUUUGUAGUUGUCCUCCAUUGAUGAAGUUUUUGUUGGUGAAGCUUUGGAGUUCAAGCUGUUGUUGGGUACCAUGAAUUGAUUUUGCUUCACACUAUCUUGAUCAAGAUAGUGUGAAGCUUUUGAGAAUUUGUAGUUGUCCUCCAUUGAUGAAGCUUUGUUGAAUUUCCCAAUUUUUUUUAUUUUUUAUUUUUUUUGGGAAACUAGAAAUUUGAAAAUGUGGGAGAGACAACAUAUACAAAUUUUGCUUCCACACUGUUGAGCAAGAGAUUGUGAUGCAAGCCACACCUUGUCGUAGUCGAAGGUUUGGAUGAACCAUAUAAAUUGAAUUUGCUUCGAACAGUCUUGAAUUUGCUUCGAAGGUUUGAGAAUUGUAGUUGCCCUCAAUUGAUGAAGCUUUUGUUGGCACCAUAAAUUGGUUAUGCUUCACACUAUCUUGAUCAAGAGUGUGUGAAGCUUUUGAGAAUUGUGGUUGAAAUCAUUUGAUGAAGCUUUUGUUGGCACCAUAAAUUGGUUUUGCUUCACACUGUCUUGAUCAAGAGUGUGUGAAGCUUUUGAGAAUUGUGGUUGCCCUCCAUUGAUGAAGCUCUUGUUGGCACCAUAAAUUGGUUUUGCUUCACACUGUCUUGAUCAAGAGUGUGUGAAGCUUUUGAGAAUUGUGGUUAAACUUCUUUGAUGAAGCUCUUGUUGGCACCAUAAAUUGGUUUUGCUUUACACUGUUUGAUCAAGAGUGAGUGAAGCUUUUAAGAAUUGUGGUUGAACUCCUUUGAUGAAGCUCUUGUUGGCACCAUAAAUUGGUUUUGCUUUACACUGUCUUGAUCAAGAGUGUGUGAAGCUUUUGAGAAUUGUGGUUGCCCUCCAUUGAUGAAGCUCUUGUUGGCACCAUAAAUUGCUUUUGCUUCACACUGUCUUGAUCAAGAGUGUGUGAAGCUUUUGAGAAUUGUGGUUGAACUCCUUUGAUGAAGCUCUUGUUGGCACCAUAAAUUGCUUUUGCUUCACACUAUCUUGAUUAAGAGUGUGUGAAGCUUUCUACGAGUUGUAGUGUUUGCAUUGUUACAGAGGGGAAAUGUUUGAAACAGAUGCAAGAGGGCUGAAUAGCUUGAUCUUCGUAUGCCAUGCACUGAAGUUGUUGUUGGCUUGUAAUAAGACUUUGUUGGUGACUAUAACUCUUGUUAGGCAUAAGUGCUCCCCUAGUUGAGUUGUCAAGCUUGAGGGUUUUUGAUUAUUUGUGAAUGCUAGGAGUUCACAUGUACAAGUUGUACCACUCCUCUUCUGGUAGGUGUAAUGAAUGGUGAGUUACUUUCAUCACUUGGUUGGUGGUACGAAUGUGAGUUCCUUCAUCACCUUUCAUCACAUUUCAUCACCUAGUUGGUGGCACGAGGAUGAGUUCCUUCUUCACCUGGUUGGUGGUAUGAAUGGCAAGUUGCCAAAUGAUAUUAGAGUACAGGUUGUACAUUUCAUCACCUAGUUGGUGGCAUGAGGGAGAGUACAGGUUGUACAUUUCAUCACCUGGUUGGUGGCAUGAAGAUGAGUUCCUUCUUCACCUGGUUGGUGGCAUGAGUGGCAAGUUGCCAAAUGAUAUUAGAGUACGGGUUGUACAUUUUAUCACCUGGUUGGUGGCAUGAAGGAGAGUACGGGUUGUACAUUUCAUCACCUGGUUGGUGGCAUGAAGAUAAGUUCUUUCUUUACAUUUCAUCACCUGGUUGGUGAGAAUAAUGGCAAGGUGUUUAGGCACAUUGUAGCAAGUGUCGAAUGAUACAAAGUAUGUUAAACCCUUUCAAAGCACAGUUGGCUUAUAUAUGAAUGUGUUGGAAUGUAUGAUUGAACGAAUAUACUGUGAAGCUGUUCGUUUAUUUGUAUAGUCCUGUUGACAUAUACUUAGACUUUGUUUCAUGUUGGAAGCAUUCAUGUUGAAGCUUUGAACCCGAGUGUUUCAUUGCUAGGAAUGUAAGAGGAUUAGGAUCGAGUUAUCUAAAUCACCAUUUUAUUGAAUUCAUGCCAAAUAGUCUUUAUUACAUAGGAUGCCGAACGGCUGAAGCUUAACACUUGUACAAUGUGAGUUUACUUGUAAUAGUACUUCAAGUGAUCAGCGUUCCAUGGAUGGCCAAGGGUCUUGCCAUCGGAGCUUCUAAGCUUGUAGGAGCCAGGGCGACUGAUGCCAACAACUUCAAACGGUCCAUCCCAAUUUGGACUAAGUGUUCCUUCACUCGGGACUCUGUCGCAGAGUAAUCUUUUCUUUAAUACCCAGUCCCCUACUUUAAAAGAACGAGGUUUGACCCUGGAGUCAUAGUAGUUGGAGAUGCGCUGCUUGUAGGCGACAUUCCUCAAGUGAGCCUGGUUUAUGUGUUCCUCAACUAAAUCUAAGUUGAGGGUAAUUUGUUUGUCAUUUUCGCUUUGCAUGUAGUUCUGGACUCGGAACUUUGCUUGCUCAAGCUCAACUGGGACAACUGCCUUUGUACCAAAGGCAAGUGAGAAUGGGGUUUCUCCUGUUGAUGUUCGAUAUGAAGUGCGGUAUGACCAAAGAACUUGGGGUACAAAUUCUGGCUAACAACCUUUAGCCUUGUCCAAGCUGAUUUUCAAAGUUCGCUUGAUUAUUUUGUUGAUGGCUUCAACUUGUCCAUUAGACUGGGGAUGAGCUGGAGAGGUAAAACAUAAGUUGAUGUUGAACUUAGAGCAGAACAUCCUGAACUUAUUGUUGUCGAACUGUCGCCCGUUGUCAGUGACUAUCGGAUUGGGAAUGCCAAAUCUGCAAAGGAUGUUCUUCCAUACGAAGUCUUCUAUUUUUGCCUCAGUAAUGGUUGCCAAGGGUUCUACUUCGGCCCACUUUGUGAACUAGUCAACUGCAACUAUUACAUAGCGGACAUUACCCUUCCCUGCAGGCAUUAGGCCAAUCAAAUCAAGUCCUCAUUGGGCCAAGGGCCAAGGGCUGAUCAUAGGAGUGAGCGGCUCGGGAUGAGAGUGAGGAAUAGUUGCGUAGUGUUGACACUUAUCACAUGAGCGAGAUAUUCUGAUGGCAUCUUGGUGGAGUGUUGGCCAGUAAUAUCCUUGGCAAAAAGCCUUGUGUGCUAGGGAUCAAGAUCCAGCAUGAUCUCCGCAGACUCCUUCAUGUAUUUCUCGAAGGACAAUUUCCGCCUCUGCAUACGUAAGGCAUCUUAGGUAUGGUAGGUUAAAACCCCGUUUGUAGAGUUGGUCAUUAAUGAUCAAGUAACGGGUAGCCUUGUAUCGAAUCUGCUUAGCUUGGACUUUGUCAUUUGGAAGAGUGCCAUGAGCAAGGAAUCUAUAAAUCGAGGUAAUCCAACUAUCCCCCUGUUGUAAGUUGUACACUUCUACAGCCUUGGUGCUGCCAACAAUUCGACCUGAAUUUUUCUUCCAAUCUUGUCUUCCACCGCUGAGGCGAGGUGAGCCAAAGCAUCUGCAUGACUGUUUGCCGUUCGAGAAAUUUGGGUGAUCUAGUAGAGGAAGUGCUUGAGCAACAAUUGUGUUUGUGCCAGAUAGGCUGCCAUGGAGCUAUCCUUAGCGUCAAAGUUGUUGGUGACCUGGUUAACCACCAAUUGGGAGUCACUGAAAAUAUCAAUUCGUUUAACCCCAAGGUGUUUAGCCAAACGUAAGCCUGCUAGGAGGGCUUCAUAUUCGGCCUCAUUAUUCGACGCCUUGAAUUUGAAAAGAAUAGCAUACUCCAUCGCCACUUUGUCAGGGGUUGUAAGGACUAGUCCUCCUCUACAACCCUGUUGGUUGGAUGAGCCAUCAACAUAUAGACUCUAUGAUGGGGCUGUUGGUUCUAUUUUCUGAGCUUCCGAGGGUAAUGAAACCACUUCUUUAGGCAUAGAAACAAUGUCAACAGGAUAUGUGAAGUCGGCGAUGAAGUCUGCCACUACUUGGCCCUUCUCAGCUAGCUUUGGUUGGUAGGAGAUGUCAAACUCACCCAAUGCUAUCGCCCAUUUGAUCAUUCGCCCGUAAGUUUCAGGACUUUGGAGUAUCUAUCGAAGAGGAUGAUUAGUAAGCACAAUGAUGAAGUGUGCUUGGAAGUAAGGGCGAAGUUUUCGAGCAGACAUGACCAAUGCUAGAGCCAAUUUCUCAAUGUUGGAGUAUCGUGUCUCCGCAUCUUGUAAGGCAUUGCUAGCGUAGUAGACAUGUCGUUCGACAUUACCAUUCUUUCGAAUGAGUACGGAAUUUACUGCUGAAGCCGAUACCGACAGAUAGAUAAUGAGAGUGUCACCAACCUCAGGUUUGGAAAGCAUAGGGGUUUUACUCAUGUAGUCUUUGAGGUUCUUGAAUGCCUCAGCACAUUCAUCAGUCCAUGUAAUGUACUUCUUACUUCUCUUAAGUGCUUUGAAGAAGUGAGCACAUCUGUCUGUGGCCUUAGAGAUGAACCUAGUUAAGGCUGCCACCUUGCCAGUAAGGCUCUAGUUGUUUUUUAAAAUUACCGGUUCCUUCAUGUCGAGGAUUGCUUUGAUCUUCUCGGGAUUAGCCUUAAUGCCUCGUUGGCUUAUCAUGAAGCUUAAGAAUUUGCCAAAGCCUACGCCGAAGGCACAUUUGUUGGGGUUCAAUCUCAUUCAAUACCUCUUCAAAAUGGUGAAAGUUUCAGAUAGGUUGGUGAUGUGUUGGUCAGCAUGUUUUCUCUUGACUAGCAUAUCAUUAACAUAAACUUCCAUGCUCUUCCCAAUCUAUUCAGCGAACAUUGAAUUGACCAGUCUCUGAUAAGUCGCUCCUGCAUUCUUUAGGCUGAAAGGCAUGACUUUACAACAAUAUAGUCCCCUGUCAGUAGUGAAGGCUAUGUGUUCUUGGUCCGGAGGGUUCAUGAGGAUUUGGUUGUAUCAUGAGUAAGCAUCCAUGAAGCUCAGAAGUUCACACCCUGCCGUAGAGUCUAUAAGUCUGUCUAUGAGAGGAAGAGGAAAGCUAUCCUUCGGGCAUCAUUUGUUUAGGUCGGUGUAAUCGACACACAUUCUCCACAAGACCUUUUGGAGCAGGAGACUUUCCUUGGUCAGAUUCUUCUUAACAAGGACAACAUUUGCUAUCCACGUUGGAUAAUUGACUUCGCGGACGAAGCCUAUGCCUUUGAGUUUUUCAACUUCUGCCUUCAUUGCCUCGUACUGUUCAGCGUUAUAAGAUCUUCAUUUCUGUCUCAUUGGCUUGGUCUUGGGUCAAUACUUAAGCGAUGACAGAUUAUAUCGGGAGAGAUGCCUGGCAUGUCCUCGUAUAACUAGGCGAAAACCUCAGUGUUCUCUUGCAAAAAAGAGAUCAAUGCCAACCGAAUGGGUGGUAACAAGGUGGUACCAAUCUUCACCAUGUUAUCUGGAUAAUCUUUUGAGAUAGAGACCUUCUCUAACUCUUUAGCGGGUUGUGCUUACUGGAUGAAAGAGUCAUCUCGAGGAUCAUCGGGUUGACUAUUGCCACCGUGAAGAUCCAAGUUGGCUUCGUCUGGGCUGGUCUUUAUGACUUGGUCAUGUAUAGAAAGGGUUUCCUUGGGCACAUACAGGUGCUGUUGCUUGACCGAAGUGUUGUAACAUGAUCGUACACUAAGUUGAUCUCCUCUGAUGUAACCAUUGCCAUAGGGGGUUGGAAAUUUCAUCAACAACAUAUGUGUGGAUACCAUGGCCUUGAGAUUAUUGAUGCAUGUGCGUCCGAAGAUGACAUUGUAUGUCGUUGGGUAAUCAACCACCAGGAAGUUAGUGGUAAUGGUAGCUGUGUAAGGGCCUAUACCAAUGGUGAAAGGUAAGUGUAUGCUUCCCAAAGGUUGCACGAUAUCACCGGAGAACCUUAUCAGAGGGGAAAUCGAGUGGUCGAGCAAGUGUUCAGCUACAUUAAGUGCCCUAAAAGCUUCAGCAAACAUGAUAUUGACCGAAGCCCCCGUGUCUACCAGGAUUCAUCGUACUUCAAAAUUGGUUAUGUGAGCUUCCACGAUCAGUAGGUUGUUGUGAGGGUAGAUGAUACCUCUUUCUUCCUCAGGGUAGAAACAUAUUGGAUCCCAGUUAGGCUUUUGAUACUUACCUCCCCUGAUGUCUUCCACGUGAAACACUUGGUAGCCAGACCUUAAAGCUCGUUCACUAUUUUUCAUGGCCCUGUUGGAAGAUUUAGAUAUGGGUGUGCCACCACUUAUCGAAUAUCACAUUCACCUGGCGUUGGUUAUGGUUACCCCUUAGAGGGUGAAGGAGGAAUUGUUCAAUUUUUCUUUCACGUGCCGAAGCUUCAACAUGAUCACGAAGGGUGAUAAACUUCUCGCCGUCAUGGCCGUUAUGCUCGUGGUAGCAGCAAAACGUGCCCGUGUUCUUCGUGGGCUUGUAAUCUGGGUGCCUCGACUUUGGCUUUGGUAUCAAGCAUGCUAUGCAGGGGUAAAUGGCCACGCAUGUGGCGUUCAAGGGUGUGUAUGACUCAUACCUCAGGGUAGGGGCUGUCCUGACACGUGCUUGACCCACUGUGUUGACUGCCUGGGGCUGGGGAUUAUCACGGCGAUACCCUUGGUUAUCGCAGUAGUGUCCCUUACUCCUUUUACUAAAAUGAGACUGGUGAGGAUGUAAAUCUUUCCUUUUUCCCUGAGAUUGAUAUGUUUGUUGACUUGGCAAAGUAUUAAGUAAGGCAGAGGGAGGCACCACUGCUGUUUGGAAGUUCGAUGUCUUUUCAUUUGGUUGGAUCUGGCUUCCACUCCCUACUUGCUGAUAAGGGGUGGCUGUGGGGGGUUUUCCUUAAUAUGUCUUUGCCUCGGCGGAGGCAUGGUUGUAAGCAUGUGCCAUCACCUCAGAGUAAGUCUUCCAAGUGUUGGCAUUGAUCAUGUACUUAAAGAAACAGUCACGUAGGCCUGCCGUGAAGGCUUUGAGGGCAGUCUUGUCGUCUGCCUCGGCAUAACGGGAAUACUCAUGGCUGAAGCGGCCAGCAUACAUACAUAAUGACUCGUCUGACUUCUGGCGAAUAGUGUACAAGUCAUCUGCAGAAUGCAAGCGAUCGGUCUGGAAGAUAUGUUGAGAGACAAACAGUUUCCUCAGUUCCUCAAAUGAGUCUAUUGUCUCAGGUGGAAGACGGCAAUACCAGUUUAGAGCUCUGCCAGAGAGGAUGGAGGAGAAGAGAAGACAUCGCUGUUCGUCGGUGUGCAUCUGAUAUGCCAUGGUGGACUCAAAAAGGUUAAGGUGUUCAAUUGGGUCCUCCCUUCCAGUAUAGAGUUGUAAACCAAGCUUUUGUUUUAUCUUCGCUUGAAGGGGGGUGUCGAGGAUCCUUCUUGUGAGAGGGCCAGGCCUAGGUUGGUUCCAGUCAAGUAUCUCUGCCUGACGUUCAGCCUUCAACUUGUUUACUUCCUCAAGGAGCUGUAGAACAUGGGGGUCCUGAGUGGAGACAUGUACCACUGGGAUUUUCUUUCGUAAGUCUCCAUCGCCUCUUGGAAGUAGGAAAGUUUGAGCAAGGGCGUGUGAUUUUUCCUUGGACUCGCCGUAUUGACUUCUAGGGCAUGUGAUUUUUCCAUGUACCCAUGUACCUUCAUGUUCCUCUGGGACUUGUCGUUCUUUCCCUAGAUUAGCAGCUGGCCUAGGUCAUGGGUGGAAACCGAGUCUUUCAGAAACCCUUGGGUUAUUGAUCUUAGAGCAUAUGUGGAGGGGAUUCUCUUGACGUUGCUUUAGGAAGUCUCGGCAAUCACGAUAAACGGCUUUCGAUCCUUCCAACCCUUCUGCAAGGAUGUGUCUUCCUCUAUUUCUCCUGCUUCAGGUCGAAGCAGCUGGGUUGAGAGAAGUCUCAUGUUGAUCAAUGUUUUGAUGAUUAGCUCGCUCCUCAUCAGGGAUACCCAUGUCGAAGGAAGGUGACCUUCCGUGUUGGGGGGCACCCAGGUGAUGAUUGAUGUCCACAGGGGUAACGAGCUCGCAUGUUUGAGUACGCCUAGUUUCGUGGAGCAUCUCAAAGAGCUUCUCAUACUCCUCUUGGAGGACCUCAUUCUUCAUUGCUAUCUUGUUGUUCUGAGCUUCUAACUCAUCGACUUUAGCUUGAAGAGCAACCCUCUUUCCUUCAUUCUUUCGUUGCUUCAUACUAGGUGCAAGAUGGGUGUCAUUCUGUGUGUUGUGGCUUCCUUCGCUCCCCAUGUUAGAGACAGAUGCCUGGUCAAAAGAGAGUGUAUGGAUGGUGGAAACUAUCUUGACAAAGCUGAAGAGAGUGGGAAUAAGUGUCGUUCUCAUAGACGGUGUCAAAUGUUGAUGCACAAAAUCAGCGAGGACUUUGGUACAACAGAAAGUGUUAAGUUUGUAACCUUCGCUAGAUUGCUCCGGUCACUAGUGUGGGUAAGUAUGUAAUAGAUAGGGACAGGGAAGCAAACACAAUAUGUACGUGGUUCACCCAGAUUGGCUACGUCCACGGAGUAGAAAAGUUCUCAUUAAUUGUGAAGGGUUUACACAAGUACAUAAGUUCAAGCUCUCCUUUUGUGAGUACUGGUGAAUGAUUUAGUAUAAAUGAUAUUAGGAAAUAUUGUGAGAGAAUGAUCUCUAUUUAUGGAAUAAAGUUUUUAGUUUCAUUCUGACAUUGACACGUGUCGUGUUGUGAUUGGCUUCUGAUGUUGACACGUGUCGCACUAUGAUUGACUUCUGAUGUUGACACAUGUCGCACUGUGAUUAGCCUCCUGGUUGUAGGGAAACUAACUCUUCUGGGUCCUUGAUGGUAUAACGUUGACCGAUGCUCAGUAGUUUCGGGAUUGGUCAAGUAUGGUACAAACAACUUCUCUACCACAAUGAGAAAAUAUUUAUACAUUUUAUUUUUUCUUCUUCUGCCUUAUCUCUCUUCCCUCUCGGCAUUCUCCCCGACUGCUACUCCCGUUCUAACAAAAAAACCAAAAAUCAUCAAUUUCAUCUCCUCCUCCAAAUCAACACUGCCAUGCAUUAAUUUUAAUUCGCACCCGAACUCUUAGAACCCUCGAACUCAGUUUGGUGGGAGAGAAAGCAGAAACUAGCCGAAAGCCCUAUUUGGUUAGGUUUUUAUAUAUUUGAUAAUUAUUAUUUCUUCGCUGUUGUAGGCCUUAGUUUAUUAGCCGCUUUCUACAUAGGUCUUUGUUUAUUAGCCCGAGUAAUGUUAGGGAGAUCAAAUUUUUUAAAUCAAAUGAUAUGGUUGUAGAUGAUUAGCUUAGUAAUUAAGUAUCGAUUUGUUUCUUAUUUGUAACACAUUAUUUAAUUUUCAAGUUUAAUUUCUAAAAUAUAAUCUCCAUAACAUUAUCUUUAUUAGCCACUUGUUGGCAUAGGUCUAAAAAAUUAAUAAACAUAAAUUACAACCUGUGUGGCUAUGUCAGCAAGUGGCUAAUAAACAUUUUUAAGCAACAAUUAAGGUUGCUAAUAAACAUAGGUUGAUCUAGUGAUUGAAAUUUAUAUCGUUCAUCAAAUCUAAUGAUCAUAAGUGCUCUGUCACUCCGGCUGCUCCGGAAAAAAAAAAUCAUAAAAUGGUUGACACAACAUUUUGGUGGAAAAAGAAAAAACAAGAAAUUACUCAAACUAUUUAUUUUUUAUUUUUUUGGGGGCAGAAAAUAGAACUUAAUCUUUGAGCUAGAGUUCUUGAAUUCUGUAGAUAAAGUAGCAAAUCCGCUUUGAAAUCAAAUUUGAGAUUUCAAAUUUCUAUAACUGAAAUGUUCAAGUUUAAGCAGGGGCGGAGCCACCAAGGGACUAGGGUAGUCCCCGGCCCAUCCUGACUUCAUUUGAGGUGUGAACCUCAUGGAAGAAGAUGAAGCAAAUGACAUCAUUAAGCUGUUUUGAUUUUAAAUCUUUUCGGCUGUCUAAUGAAACGAUAAGUUUGGCAGGGGAGUUUUAAAAGAGAUGCACAAUUUUAAAUGGAAAAAGCAACCCCACUUCUGAUUCGAUUCUCUCACCUAACAGUAAUAUACACCCUAUAAUUUUCUAAAGCAACCCACCUUCUUUAUUAGCAGACCUCUUCCCCUUUUCCUUCUUUUUCUACUUCUUUGUAUUUUCUUUAGCCUUCCACAACCUUCCACAACCUACCUCUUACUUGGUUGUCUUAGUUUUUACAUUUUUUUCUUCUUAGUAUUGAAUUUAAGAGAUUUUUUUCAGUUUUGUGAGGAUUACACAAAUUGCAUAUGUCAACAUGUUAUGAAUUCAAAUUUUUACACACACUCAUAUACAUACAUAUUUGUGAAAAGCCCAUCCUCAUUCAUAAUUCUGGCUCCGCCACUGAGUUUAAGUAGAGUAGAUAUAUAGAUGCAGCAGUCCACGUUUUAUAGAAGUGACUUCAAAUAAGUUAUGUUGAGUUUGGCAAUGUUUUAGAAUCCGACGGUCCUGAUUGUCAUAUUAUUGCAUCAAAAUUGAGCCGUUUUACUCUCUAUUUCUCUCUCACACUCUCUUUUUCUAAGAGCAACUCCAGCGUUGCUGGUUGCUCAGGGGACAGGCAAGGAGAAAGGACCCGACGGCCGGGGGAUGGGGAUCCAGCGUUGCUGGUUGCUCGGGGGACAGGCGAGGAGAAAGGGCCCGAGCGACAGGCCCGAGCGAGGAUUGCCAGCCCGAUAGCCUGAGGGCUGUGUGACGUAUGGCUGAUGUGCGGCAUCGAUGCAUGCGCUCGGUGUUCUCUGCGUCCUCCUUCCUCCUUCCUCCUCGUCCUCCUUCCCCUCCUCGCCCUCCUUCCUCCUCGGUGUUCCAUGGCUGCUGCUGAGAGAGAGAGAGAGAGAGAGAGAGAGAGAGAGAGAGAGAAAGGACCGGUCCUCCUUCCUCCUCGGUGUUCCAUGGUUGUUGCUGUGAGAGAAAGAGAGAGAGUACCGGUCAAAAUUAGGAAAAAAUAAUAAUAUUUUAUGGAUUGGGUGAGAAAAAUAAUAAUAUUUUAUGGAUUGGGUGAGAAAAAAAAUAUUAAUAUUUUAUUACUAAUUGCCAGGGGGAAGGGUUUCAAGGGUGGAGAUGCAAAUGGCAAUUACUAUUUAUUAAGGGCAGUUACUGUUCACUAGGUGGAUUGAAUAGUGGAUUGCCAGGGGGAGGGCUCCAAGGGUGGAGUGCUCUAAGGGAUGUGAUAGACACACACUCCAUUUUACUUUUCAAACACCCUUUUAAUUUUCGACCGUUGGAUCGGAUAAAUUGAAGAAAAUCAACAGAUAUAAAUUAAUAAAGAGUGUAUGAAGUAAUUUGUGAUGUGUAUAUAGCACAACACUUUUCUAAAAGACAACUACUUUAUUAAGUGGAAUGAUUACCAACAACUUUUCGUCUUUUCCAAAUGAGAAUGUCUGCAAGACUGCUACUUUCAAUUUUGUUUGAAACAAAAGUCAUCGUGACUUUUACAAGGUUGAGUGGCUUUGACACGGUGUAAAUCCACACACGGAAUGAGUCACAACUUUAACAUUCUUCAUAUUUAAAAUACAAAAUUAAAAACUAAGAAGUGUAAUACUAGGGGAACAAUUUAAUUAACUUUUGUAAGAAAUAUGACGUAAUUGUUGAUGAUUAAAUUAUUACUUAAGUAUUGAUUAACGUAAUCAUUUUUUAUUAAUGAUAUAGCACAUGCUUUACAAAUUUGAUCUACUUAGCAUUCUUUAAACUAAAAACAGCAAUGUGCAUUUCUUUUGUUCUUUUUCUUGAAAACUUCAGUGAAAUGAUAACUAGGCAACUCAAGUGGACAAUGUUACAUCCCGGACUCCACUCCGCCGUAGCACAAUAUUGUUCGCUUUGGGCCCCCGACCACGCCCUCACAGUUUUGUUUCUAGAAACUCACGAGAGCAGAACUUCCUAGUGAGUCACCCAUCCUGGAAAUGCUCUGGCUCUCCUUAGGGGCCCGACGUCCUUGUCGGCACACAUCUGCCCAGAGAUUGGCUCCGAUACCAAACUGACACACCCCGACCUAGAUCGAGGCAUGAUGGCCAUCACGUGAGGGUGACGUAGCCAUGUGCGUAGUGCAGAAUUGAAAUUAAUAAGAAGAAAUGCGAAUAACCUAGAACCAAGCUAACUAAAUUACACCUAAACACCAUGCUUGCACUUAUGUUUCCUUAGUGUAAAUUAGUUAGCUUGGUUCUAGGUUAUUCACAUUUCUUCUUAUUAAUUUCAAUUCCACACUAAGCAUAUGACUACGUCACCCUCACGUGACGGGCAGCAUGCCUCGAUCUAGGUCGAGGUGUGUCAGACAACACUAUUUGUCCUUGGCAUAGCAAACAUUUGAGGGUCCAAUCUUGCUCAUCACUAUAAACUAUAGUGCAUACUCUAUACUUAAAAAUCUGCUACGUGCCAUUUCACUUAACCUUAAUUAAUCUUCUUCAAAAUUAAAAUAAAAAUUAAUAUAAAAUUAAUAAAUUAAAUGAAAUAACAUGUGAAAAUGAUUGCCCAAAAAAUAACUAAAGGUGCAUCUUUUUGUAUUUCUCACACUUUCUUUACACACUUUUGCUAAAGGUACAUCUUUUUUAUUUCUCACUUGCUUUUCCUAAAGAUGCAUCUUUUAUGUUUCUCACUUUCUUUUUCUAAAGGUGCAUCUUUUCUAUUUCUUACACUGUUUUUUUUUCUUCUAACAGAGAGAGGAUUCUUUUCGGAUUCUCUUUAUGAGAAUUCUAAGGAUCCUUCAAUUAUGUCCGUUUAUCAUAUAUUGUACAACCCACUUUUAUCAGGUAAUGUUUAUAUUAAAUUUUAAAUAAAAAAAUUUACAAUGAUUUUGAAAAUCUUCACACAAAGAAUCCAAGGAGGAUCCUCAUUCAUUAAUAACCACCAAGGUCGUAGCCAUGUUUGAAAUCUGUGUUGUCUUUUGCAUCUGUAGGAUGCAUCGGUAACGAGAUGCUCGUCAUCCGGUAUUAGCAACCUUAAUUGUUGCUUGAAAAUGUUUUUAGCCACUUGCUGAUAUAGGCCUUUGUUUAUUGGAGUAGGAUUAUUUCUUCUUUUUUUUUCCCAUUAUUUUUCCUCUCAUUCUAUUUGAACGAUCACGGUUAAGUCAUAUCAAUAUCUUAUAUUAAUUUUCUAUAAAAAGAGAAAGAUAAAAUAGAGAAUGUGAGAGAAGAGAAGAGAAUGGGAUGAAAAGAGAAAGGAAGAGAAUCCUAAUCCUUGUUUAUCAGCAACCUUAAUCGUUGCUUGAAAAUGUUAAGAGCAUUUCCAAUGAGCUCCCUAUAAAAGUUUCUAGCUAAAAUUUAGGGAGGAAUUAAAAAAAAAAAUCAUCUCCAACCACACUCCCUAUUAUGAUCAUAGGGUGGCAACAAAUCUUGGAGCUCCUAAAUCAAAGGAGUGAAAAAUUAACUGUUUUAAUUAUACUUUAAAUAGAAACUUUAUUCCUAUUCAUUCCUACUAACUCUGACUCUCUAAAUUAGACAAUAUGGUUGGAGUAAAAAUGUUAGGGGAGAUCUUAAGAUAACUUUUUAGUCGUUUAGUUCAAAUUUAACCAAAAAAUAGAGCAUGACUGGAACACACUUCAAGCACGCUCCUUUGGUCUUCCUUUUGACUCAUGUUCGCCUGGACUUGCAUGCCUUUGGGCCUGUUGAGGUUAACCCUGCAUUAACAAAUUAAGGAUUAGAAAAGGGUUAGUAUUUCUGAAUUUCCCUUAAGUUUAAAAUAUUUAAAAUGAUGUCGUUUUAAGAAAAUUCGGUUUGGUUUCCAAAUCAUUGAAAAUAAAACAAUAGAUUUUGGUUCAAUUUGGUUCGAUUUUUCUUUGAUUCGAUUUUUUCCAUCUUUGACGUGCUGUCUAAUUUUGGUUAGGUUUUUAUAUUCAUCAGCCACUUUGAUGUGUUGUCUACGUUUGGUUAGAUUUUUUUUUAUAUAUUUGAUAUUGUUGCAGUCCUAUUAGAUAUGGAAUGUGAUUGUGUAAAUCCUAGUAUAUCUUGGAAUAUCUCUUAUAUCCCUAUUAGGAGUUGAUUACCUAUUAAAUGUUGUAAUCCUAAAGGGAAAGGUUUUUACCUAUCAUACUACCAUAAAUAAAGGCAUAAUGGGGUGGAAUAGAACACACCCACAAUUACACAUCUCUGUCUUCUCUCUCUAUGCCGCACCAUCUCUCUCUAUAUGGCCUUCAUAAUUGUUCAGUAAAGUAUGCCUACAACACGUUAUCAGCACGCUCUUAACGCUAAGCUAAAGUGAGUUUAUUCUUCAAUCAGGGGAGUAUUACGGUCUAAUCAUUCUUUUUAUGAUUAAUUUAUUGUUUUGAAUUGAUCUACAUGUUAUUCAUUCAAUUUAAUUUUUUUUUGUGUUGAACGUGAUCCAACACAUUGGAGAUGCAAUUCCGUCUUUAUGAGAAAGAUCUUCUACAAAUUCAAGGGCUUUUGUUGUUUUCUGCCAAUCAGGUACGCUUAAAAUAAAGGAAGAUAUUUGAAACGACCUUGAAGCAUGAAAACAUUCCCCAUGAUGCAUGAACCUCCUUAUGUUUAUACUUUCCUUCCGAUAUAUAUAUUGUAUAUAUUCAUAUAUUUGUCAAUAUAUAUAUUUGUUUCAUGCAUUACGCAAUUAUAAUUGCUAUGUGGAAUAUGUUAGUCAAAGUAUAUUCAUAAAUUAGAAGCAAUUAGGGUUUUAAACCCUAGGUUCGGAAAAAAAAUUAGGUAUUUUUAAGCACCACCGUGGCGACACACAUUGGGACACUAAUUUGGACCUUUGCGCAGCCCUCUGGGCUUGCUGCCUUCCUUCAACAUUCACCCAGGCCUCAACCUGGGAUGGUUAUCUCAUGGGCCUGAAAGCCCUGGUCCAAAACUCGACCCACAACCUGCAAGCCUGAAGCCAUGCUUGUCACUGUCACGGGCUUGAAGCCCCAACCCGUCUGCACCAGUUUUUCUGGUUCGCUGGACCGGUUUCACUGCCACGACCAGCUUACUACUGGGCCCUUGCCUCGCUCCGACCCGCGCUAGAACAAGCCAGCACGUGCUGGGCUUGUCCAGUGCUUUCAGCCUGCCAGCCCGCAUUUCAAGCUUGCGGCUUGAUUUGUACGAUGGGCUGCACAACAGUUUUUCCAAGCCCACUAGCCGACAAUUUUUUUUUGCUAUGAUGGGCUAUUUGCCUCGACUCGCUACCAAUUGUAGCCAUUGGAGCUACCUUGCAAGAGCGUGUAGUGCAUAACCAAAGUGUGUUGGGCUGUAUUCCUUUUUCGACCUGAUGCUAUAUUUUGGCAUCCCUUGCUUCUUAACCAUACCCAAAUAUUUUUGGACGUUUUUGGUUAAAGUCAUACUAGGCUAUAUUUUCUUAAUUAUUUGGCCCGAAGCCAUCUAAAGUGAAUAUGACUCGAAUGUUAUUCUUUUGCUUCUACAAUCGACCCCGAAUGGUCCUGAUUUAUUGAAUUAAUUAAAAGUGACCUGCAGUCCAUUAAUCUGGUAAUGAAUAAAAAAUUAUUGACCUGAAUAUCACUUUUGGACAUUAACGAUUCAAUAAUUUAUUUUUGUACUUUGAACCGUUGACUUACUUUCGUAGUUCCGAAGCACUCACACUUGAGUUCCUGAAGCAACCCAAAUCCACUACACUUAGUUGUAUAUUGCAUUAUGUGUUCUUGCAGGAACCUCUCUUUUAUAAACUAAAUGUUCAUAAACUAAAUUGAACCUGUAGUUUCAAAUUUAGUGCCUUUGAAACUCGAAGAUUUUAUAAAACAAUACACCUAUGAAAACCUGACGUUUUGUCAUGAAAACCAUGUCUUAAAACUUGAAUGUUCUAACUUUGAUGCCUAUGGAUGAUCCAUUCUCAUAACACCAAUCACAAUCUUGUUCCCUCCAAAUUCAAUGGAUUGUCGAACCGUCACAAGUUCGAUUUUUCUUAUUUGGACGUUUCUAAUAGAAACUACUUAAUGUGGGGUACAAGACAUGAAUCCCCACUUGACUAUCAUGAAGUUGAGAAACCAUUUAAGCCAACAAUGGCAAGAAAGAGCUGAAUAAGCCUCCGCCAUGAUUUUCAUUCGAAGACUUAUGCCCAAAGCAUUACAAAUGGAAGUACCUCUUGAACGAGGAUUCCAUGGCUCUAUGGCUCGCUCCUACGGACUGUCUAAUCAUGAAAGACAUUACCUAAAGCACACCAUAAUUACGUCCAUGAAUGAGUACAAUUAUGAAGUUUAUAAAUCCGAUCGAAUUUUGACAAGAGAAUACUUUUCUCGUCCUUGUUUCUAACUCGCUCCUGAAGCAACUAGUGUAGAAAGCAGAAGUUUUACCAAAUUCUCGGAUCUGAUUACUACCAUAAACAUAUGGUAGAAUUAGGGCCUGCCAAGGUGUGGCAUCAUGCUCGAAACGUGAUCCUUGGUACCUAAGACCUAAAACUUAAAAAACAAGGGAUAGUAUUCCCAAACCUUAACCCUGCAUAAUCUAUUUCCGUUUCGAUGGAAUAGACCAUUGGUUAUGCACCCCUGUUCGUGCACCUACCAAUGUUGUUAAGGAGUACCAUUCUAGUAGUUAAUACGUCAGACUAAUUUUGCUCCACCAAACACCGUUGGAAGAGCAGAAUUUUGACAUGGAUGGUCUUGUUGGAUGAAUCCCCCUUAGUAAACCAUUUACUUUGUGAACAUUUUUCCAUGUUCUUGGAUUCACGUUUGGUGUAUGUUUUACUUAUGGAUAAUCUUAUUGAUAUUGUCCUCGAAUAUGGGUUAAUUGAAUUAUGUUUCUUAAUACCUGUGACCGAUUUAAUUAAAUACAUGAUGAGGUAGGAAUGUGGGAAAGUUUGUUGUCUGGAUGAAUGCGUACUACGCACACUAACUUUACACCUAAAUCAUAUCUCUAACAGCGACUUCAGGUUUAUCCAAUUUGAUUAAGAGCAUUGGCACCUUCCUCGUUGUACGAAUGGUAUUGAAUCACCAUUUAAGGGACCUUAAAUUCUCCCUGAUGUUGAGUUUUUAAGGAUAUUCGAGAUAACAAUGAUCAUAAAUGAACCACUGAAGAAAAUAGAGUGAAAUAUCUUUGCACCACCUCCAAAAAUUAGCCCGAAGCUUUGAUUGGGGGCCAAUGAGUUGUCUCCCAAUUGGGACCACGCCAUAUGUGGCCAGCCUGGAGCCAGGUGAUUCGAGCUGUUUACUUGUUUUGGCAUGACCUUUUGGGACACUUAGGUCGAACAACGAUGUUACGACGCAUCUCCUUACCCGAAGUAAAGAUCUUGUGCCUACAAGCACACUUUGCCAAAACCCGCUCAUUUUGGAAAAUUUGAUUUCUAAAUCAUCCCUAGCAAAGAUAAAAAGUGACUCAUUUUUCACAGUGGAUUCAAGGGAAUAUAUGUGGACUAAUCCAACCAAAAUGCAGACCAUAUAAAUACUUAUGGUUUUGGUUGAUGAAUCGACAAACUGGUCACAUGUUUGUCCACACACAUUACUGCUAAACCUCAUAGCCGAUUAAGGGCUCACCACCCUACUUAUCCCUUAAGGUCCAGGAGACUAGAUAAUGUCGGAGAGUUUAUAUCGAAGGUUUUCAAUAAAGUAUUGCAUGUAUUUUGGGUUUAUAAUUGAACAUCAAAUUCCCAUGUUCACCCCAAAUAGCCUCGCCUAGUGAACAUAAAGCGUAAUUUAAAUGAUCGCCUGAAUUUUGGUAAACGUACCAACUUUUCGAUUUCUGCCCAGGGCUAUGCAAUCCUUGUACGCAGUUAUGUUGGUCCACCUUGAGGCCUAUUGCCACCCAACCUAUAUGACGUUACAGUUGGUUACUAGGUACGAACCUGACGAUUUUCGUAUUUACGUAUUUGGGUGUGCAUUCCAUGUGCCAAGUUGCGCCGCCGUAACGUACCACCAUGGGUCUUCAAAGAAGGAUGUGUAUCUUUUAUCGAUCAUGAUUCUCCUUCACCUUCGCUCUCUUAAAGCCCUUGCACACGAUCUCUUUACUGCUCAUUUGCGGGUUGUCUCUUUAAUGAGACAGUUUUCCAGUCGUUAGGGGGAGAUAAGAACGUUAACGUUCCUGGAGAACGGCGCGAAUUUGCGUGGACGUUGCCCACUAUGUCUCAUAUCGAUCCUCAUACCGCACCAGUGUGAUAAGCAAGUGCGAUGAAUUCUAGAUUUCAGAAUGUUACUCCAGACGGAUUCCUAUGAUCUAGCUAAAGUGAUAAGAUCAUAUACCAGUUGCAAACAUGCCUACAAUGAUAGACGUACUUAACGGACGUCGAGUCAACAUCCCUAGAGCAUGUGCCGUCCUUGUUGGACGGUUUAGACGGUCCGGUACACCGGCGAAUAGCCAAUCAAUCUGUCUUGGCCUGGAGCAAAACAAAUCAUUCAGUUUGUAGGAUUCACUUCCCUAAAAAAGGAAGAUACAGCAUAACAAUGAAUCUAAACUCGAUCGCUAUCUCAAAUUACUUCCAUAUCAUGAGAUUAAUCCGGAUUACUCUCUAGACUUAAGGUUCUUGGUCCAGUAUAUUAGUUUGGAUGAGAAAAUGGAAUUGAAAUAAGAUUAUCAUCGAUGAUGUUUUCACUUAUAUGGUAGCUACCGACAUAAAUGAAAAGCGACAAUAUCAAACUGUGUUCCGUUGAUUAAGUGACAAUGUAGAACUGAUUGGACAACUAAAGUUACAAUCUAGGUCAAAUUCCUUACCAAAGUCUGUAUUGGACCUGUCGUUCCUACACUGCCCAAGGUAACCCUGUUGUGUUACAAGUGAAAAAGGAAGCGUUAUGAGAUGAAUGAAAUAAUGCAAUAUGAUGCACGCCUUGCGGCGCAAGGUUUCUCUUAAACGUCAUGUGAUUGAUAGCAGCAUUAUGAAAUGUGGUUAGUGUUUUCUCCAUGGGGAUAUAGAUACUGAGAUUUACAUGUAAGUUCUCGAAGAAUUACAAAAACUGUUUCAAAUAGUUCCAAAACCACUGAACACCUUCUUAACUUGUUUGAGGCAUUCACUUACAAUUUGACGAAUUUGGUAUACUUGUCUAAGUGAUUAUUUGAUCAGUUAGGGAUGAAUUAUGCCUUUGCGUGUUAAACUAUGAAAUCUUAUUCCAAAUUGCUAGAGUUAUAGUUUAUGUCGUUAACACGAAUUUCACUAAGACUUCUGAAGAGUUUGAGCAAACUGCCUCACACCUGAAAAUGGAAUUUGAGAUGAAGGAUCUUGGGAAACUCAAUUGUGCCUUGACCUGAAGUUAAAGCAUUGUUCUAACAGUAUUUUGGUCUACCAGUCGAACUACACCCCGAAUGGGUCACAUUUGAGUAUACCUUUGAUCGUCCAUACGUUAUAUGCAAAUGAGACCCUUGAAGAGGUUAUAGAAUUCGAUAUUCCAUAUCUAAAUUCAACUUUACGAUUCGUUGUACUUAGCUCAUUAUAUUUAGACAGGACAUCUCCUUCAUUGUUGAUCUUGGUAAAGAUGCAGCAUCGCGCCUACACAAGGCAAAAUCCCAAAAUGUUAUAUCUUUACCAUUAGGGAUAUCGCAAUAUCUUAGAGGUCCAUGAUAUGACCUUAGUUGCAAAAUCUUCGAAUUGUUCCAAGACUCACCUACUUCACUACGCCACAAGUGAGACAUGGUUAGGAGUUCUUGUUGAGCAUAUUCGAAGUACUUGCUGUAUUUUUCAUCCAUCGUUGAGUCCCGACGACGAUCCAUGAAGAUUAUGCCGCAUGUAUCAACUAGACCAAGUCAUGAUACAUCAACGAAGUCAACACCAAGACAUAUUGCAUCUACAUCAGCAAAGCAUCAGGAGAUUGAAGUUAUGCAAGCCGAUCCUGACAACCUUGCCAACCUCUACACGACGUCACUGCCGAAAUCAACCUUCCAGAAGCUUGUCCGAGGAAUUGGUAUGCCUAACUAUCAUAUGCAAUGCUUAUAUUUCUCAUUUGGAAGUUAUGUUAAACUCAGGAGGAGUAUCCAGAAGUAUACUCACUUGAUCUUAAUGUACACUUUUUCCCUACGAUUAAGAGCAUUUUUCCCACUGGUUUUUGCUACCUAACUAUGUUUUAACAAGGCACCCAUCCUGGGCUGAUCAUACCCUUGUGAGGUCUUCUACUUGCGUCCAAAAUACGUAUAGUUUUGACUUAAUGCAACUUCUCAUUUUUCUCCUUAGACUAUGGGUUUUUCUCCCACCUUGGGUUUUACCAUAACGAGGUUUUGUGAGUUUUACUUUUUAUGCAUUCUUCCGUUGAUCUGAGACUCGCAUUCGCACAUUGUGCUGAUGACUUCAUCAACUAUACUUGCUUCAUCACUGAAGACCUGAUGCACCAUUUACUUGAGUAUUUACACACUCAAUGGGGAGUGUUGUAGUCCUAUUAGAUGUGUAAAUCCUAGUAUAUCUUGGAAUAUCUCUUAUAUUCAUAUUAGGAGUUGAUUACCUACUAAAUGUUGUAAUCCUAAAGGGAAAGGUUUUUACUUGUCAUACUACUAUAAAUAAAGGCACAAUGGGGUGGAACGGAACACACCCACAAUUACACAUCUCUCUCUUCUCUCUCUAUGCCACACCAUCUCUCUCUAUAUGACCUCCAUAAUUGUUCAGUAAAUUAUGCCUACAACAGAUAUAUUAUUAUUUCUUCCAUGUCACAGGUCUUAGUUUAUUAGCAACUAGCACGGACCCAACUAUUUUUGUCAGUGGCAGAGGCAGGAUUUGAAUUCACUAGGGCCAUGAUAAAGAAGUAGAUGUGGUAGUGUUUUGUUAUUUAGAUAUAUAAUUCAUGACUUGUCCUUAUAAUUUUUUUUUAUAAAUAAAAUGUAUUGAUGAGAAAAUGAGAGUUGUCCUUAUAAUUUGAACUUGUUGAUUAAUAGUGUCAUUAUUUAUUUAACACAUACACCUAAAUUAUAACCAUAUAGUGAUCUUAAUUGUAUAAUAUUAGAUUUUUUUCCCACUUAAGCAACAUCAACCGUUAAUUUGACUGCAAUAAGUAAAUACACCAACUAUUGUAAAAGGUUAUUGAUCAAUCCUUUCAAUUGAUUGAACUCACUACGAAAUACUGUUGAUUACUAGAGUGUUUACAUAAAUAAUGGAAAUCAACCAUAAUACUAUGUUUGGAUGAAGGAAAUAAACUUGGAAUUUGGAUAAAAGUCAAAAUUUAUAAAUUAACAUGCACCAAUUCUCUUGUUUGGAUUUAUAAACAUAGAAAUUUAGAAUUUCUGCGUGAAAAAAAAAACUUGGAAUUUGGGGCCUCCAAUUCCCAAGUUUAAAUUCCAUAUAAGUAGGUGUCAUUUCUCAAUUUCUAUGAUUGAGAGUUUAAAAUUAACAAAUUCCAUUAUCAAUUCCACUGUUCUUUUAGGUUAACCAAAUAAGAAAAUUCACAAAUUCUAGAAAAUAAAAUCUCGACAUUUCAAUUUUUGUCAUUUUAAAAUUACUUAGUAAUCUUAAAUUUCUUUAUCAAGCAUAGUGUACGUUAAUUGUUGAAGUUCCUAUUUGGAUAUCUAGAUCAAUAGAAUAUAUAGUUCAGUUCAUCCGCCACUUGCUCAUUUGUUGUGAUUCCGAAUUAUGAUUGCAAACUAAUGUUUAUUAGCUACCUUGAUUUGAUUGUUGAUUGAAAAUGUUUAUUAGCCACUUGCUGACAUAGGUCUUAGUUCACUUGCUGGCAUAGGUCUUUAGUUCACUUGCUGGCGUAGGUCUUUGUCUAGGCCUCUCAUUUUUUUUUAUAGGAACUUUGACGAAAAGCUCCAGGUAAUGUUCACUUUAACGAAAAAUCACAUUUUUACACUAAAAAGUUAAUCAUGGUACUAUUUAUUUUACCCUUUAUUUUGUCAUUAUCUUUAAAACUCAAAGUUUUCAAGUUAUUUUCAUUAAUAGCCACUUGCCAAUGACAGUGAUGAGAGAUUUUUUAGGACUAAGAUUCUCUCUUUCUUUUUCUAUCCCCUUCCUUUUCUUCCUCUUAUAUUCUUUAUUUUAUCUUUCUUUUUUUAUAAAAAAAAAUUAGGGUAUUUGUUUACUACCCUCAUGUUUCGUGGUUUUCAACAUUUAGUACAUCAAGUUUUUUUUCAUCCCAGAGUCAUACUUGUUACAAUGUGCCUAGACACCUUGCCAUUAUUCUCACCAACCAGGUGAUGAAAUGUAAAGAAGGAACUCAUCUUCAUGCUACCAACCAGGUGAUGAAAUGUACAACCCGUACUCUCCUUUAUGCCACCAACCAGGUGAAGAAGGAACUCAUCUUCAUUCCACCAACCAAGUGAUGAAAUGUACAACCCGUACUCUAAUAUCAUUUGGCAACUUGCCAUUCAUGCCACCAACUAGGUGAUGCAAUGUGAUGAAAGGUGAUAAAGGAACUCACCUUCGUACCACCAACCAAGUGAUGAAAGCAACUCACCAUUUAUUCCACCUACUAGAAGACGAAUGGUAUAACUUGUACAUGUGAACUUCUAGCAUUCACAAAUAAUAAAAAACCCUCAAGCUUGACAACUCAACUAGGGGAGCACUUAUGCCCAACAAGAGUUAUAGUCACAAACAAAGUCUUAUUGCAAGCCAACAACAACUUCAGUGCAUGACAUACGAAUAUCAAGCUAUUCAACCCUAUUGCAUCUGCUUCAGACAUUUCCCCUCUGUAACAAUGCAAACACUACAACUCGUAGAAAGCUUCACACACUCUUGAUCAAGACAGUGUGAAGCAAAACCAAUUAAUGGUGCCAACAAGAGCUUCAUCAAAGAAGUUCAACCACAAUUCUCAAAAGCUUCAUACACUCUUGAUCAAGACAGUGUGAAGCAAAACCAAUUUAUGGUGCCAACAAGAGCUUCAUCAAUGGAGGGCAACCACAAUUCAAAAAAGCUUCACACACUCUUGAUCAAGACAGUGUGAAGCAAAACCAAUUUAUGGUGCCAACAAGAGCUUCAUCAAUGGAGGGCAACCAUAAUUCUCAAAAGCUUCACACACUCUUAAUCAAGACAGUGUGAAGCAAAACCAAUUUAUGGUGCCAACAAGAGCGUCAUAAAUGGAGGCCAACCACCAUUCUCAAAAGCUUCACACACUCUUAAUUAAGACAGUGUGAAGCAAAACCAAUUUAUGAUGCCAACAAGAGCUUUAUCAAAUGAGGGCAACCACAAUUCUCAAAAGCUUCACACACUCUUGAUCAAGACAGUGUGAAGCAAAACCAAUUUAUGGUGACAACAAGAGCUUCAUCAAUAGAGGGCAACCACAAUUCUCAAAAGCUUCACACACUCUUGAUCAAGACAGUGUGAAUCAAAACCAAUUUAUGGUGCCAAUAAAAGUCUCAUCAAAAGAGUUCAACCACAAUUCUCAAAAGCUUCACACACUCUUGAUCAAGACAGUGUGAAGCAAAACCAAUUUAUGGUGACAACAAGAGCUUCAUCAAUAGAGGGCAACCACAAUUCUCAAAAGCUUCACACACUCUUGAUCAAGACAGUGUGAAUCAAAACCAAUUUAUGGUGCCAAUAAAAGUCUCAUCAAAGGAGUUCAACCACAAUUCUCAAAAGCUUCACACACUCUUGAUCAGGACAAUGUGAAGCACAACCAAUUUAUGGUGUCAACAAAAGCCUCAUCAAAGGAGUUCAAUCACAAUUCUCAAAAGCUUCACACACUCUUGAUCAAGACAGUGUGAAGCAAAACCAAUUUAUGGUGCCAACAAAAGUUUCAUCAAUGAAGGGCAAUUACAACUCGUAGAAAGCUUCACACACUUUUGAUCAAGACUGUUUGAAGCAAAUUCAAUUUAUAUGGUUCAUCCAAACCUUCGACUACUACAAGGUGUUUUGCAUCACAAUCUCUUGCUUAACAGUGUGGAAGCAAAAUUUGUAUAUGUUGUCUCUCUCACAUUUUCAAAUUUCUAAUUUUAACAAAAAAAAAAAAAAAAAAGAAAGGAAAUUGGGAAUUCAACAAAGUUUCACCACAAAAGCUUCACCAACAAAAGCUUCAUUCAUCAAUGGAGGACAACUAAAAAUUCUUAAAAGCUUCACACUAUCUUGAUCAAGAUAGUGUGAAGCAAAAUCAAUUCAUGGUAGCCAACAAAGCUUCACCACAAAAGCUUCAUCAAUGGAGGAUAACUACAAAUUCUCAAAAGCUUCACACUAUCUUGAUCAAGAUAGUGUGAAGCAAAAUCAAUUCAUGAAACCCAACAAAAGCUUCAACUCCAAAGCUUCACCUACAAAGCUUCAACUCUAAAGCUUCACCCACCCACAAAAGCUUCACCUACAAAAGCUUCACCGAUAAAAGCUUCACUAACAAAAGCUUCACCCACAAAAGCUUCACCCACCACAAAAACUUCACCUACAAUAGCUUCAUCUACAAAAGCUUCACCCACAAAAGCUUCACCCACAAGCUUCACCCACAAAAGAUUCACCCACUACAAAAGUUUCAUCCAUAAAAGCUUCACCCACAAAAGCUUCCCCCACCACAAAAGCUUCACCCAUAAAAGAUUCCCCCACCACAAAAGCUUCCCUCACAAAAGCAUUCCCCACCACAAAAGUUUCACCCACAAAAACUUCCCCCACCACACAAGCUUCACCCACCAUAAAAGCUUCAACACAAAAGCUUUACUUACAAAAGCUUCACACUAUCUUGAUCAAGAUAGUGUGAAGCAAAAUCAAUUCAUGGUAUCCAACAAACCUUUAACCUCAAAGCUUCACCUACAAAGCUUCACCUAUAAAGCUUAAUAUAUAUAUAUAUAUAUAUAUAUAUAUAUAUAUAUAUAUAUUUUUUUUUUGGAAAUUCAAAAAUUCGGAAAUUUGUAAAUUCAGAAAUUCAAAAAUUUGAAAAUUCCAAAAAAAAAAAAUGCCUAGGCCUCAUCUUCUUUAGACCUAACAACUUUCAUAACAAAUAUAUAUAAAGUAGGAGUUUUGGGCUACCACUUAGAAAGGAAAAUGGUGAAAUUUUGUUACUUUGGAAACUUGGCUACUAGCAAGACACCUCCUUCGUCAACUCCCUCGACUGGAGACUUGGGGGACUUCUACCAUAUGCUACUGCACCUUGAUACUCGGAAGUCUCACGACUACUUAGUGAGUUGGCUUUUUUCAAGUCUCUAACCGAAAAGUUUUCCUCACUCGGGAAAUUAAGGGAGCACUACCUCAACCUACAUGCUUCACUCAUAAAGCUUCAACAUACAAGCUUUAACAAAAAGAAAAAUUCAAAGAAUUUAGUGAAGAAGGCCUUGGUGUAUUUAACACAAUACGUUGAAAUAAAGCAAAGCUUGUUUAUUGAUAUCUCCGAUAAGUUACAAAUAUGUACAUAUACAUGAAUCAAAAUAAACAAACAAGAGGGAGCAUUCACAAAGGUUGCUCAGGAGAAGUCUCAGCAGUCUGCAGAGCCCCAGAAAGAAGAGGCACCAGAGGGUGAUUAUUCGGAGCCUCAGUACUAGGCAGAACCCUAGAAGAAUGAAGCACUGAAGGUUGAUCAUUUAGAGCUUCAUUACGCGAUACAGCCCUAGAAGACGAAGGCAAUAAUUGUCUUUGGAACAAACCCACAAACCUCUGAUAAUCAAGUAAAAUCUGACCAUCAGAUUCCUGCAAUUGGUCGAGCUUCCUCUUCAUGUUUGUAGCAUAGUCAUGUGUGAGCAUGUGCAAUUGUUUAUUCUCAUGCUUGAGCCCUCUAAUCUCCUGUUUGAGACUUAUCACUUUAGUCGCCAAUGAUUCAACUUGGCGGGUUCGAGCAAAUAGGCUUUGGGCCAUAUUCGACACAGAACCUGCACAUUGAACAUUGAGAGCCAGAGAAUCCUUAACAGCCAACUUAUCAGACCGUUUGGAAAGUAGUCUGUUAUCUUUGGGAGUGAGAAAGUUCUUGGCCACCACCCCAGCGGUCAUAUCAUUCUUCAUCACAGAGUCCCUAAUGGUAAGAGGACCAGUAGGGGAUAAGAAGGAUUGGCGUCAUAUGUUGUCUUGAGAAGGCAUGUCUGCCUCUUCACCAAAGUUCAAGUCAAAACGACGGUCGGAUGGGCCAGACAUUCUCAGAAAUGAUGAAGGAGAAAUGAGGUGCAAUAAAUCUCUGAAGUAAAGGGAAAAUUCCUACAAGCAAUAACUCUUUAAAUGUACUUCUUGCACACAAUUGGUUCCCUUAUAAAAGAAAGGGCAACAAGGUCGUUGGUUCAAAAAUCGAAAAGGCAACACUCUCUGGAUUCCGAAGAAGCACCACUUUCCACACGCAACAUCAGCUCCUCGGGUACCACAGAUAACUUUGCCAAAGAUCUCUGACAAAGUUUAAACACAUAAAUUUUGAAGGUCCAACUACCCUACUAUUACCCACAAGGGUAAAGGAACAACAUCACUGCUUGAUAACUAGAAAAUCCCUAUAUGUGUCAACCUCUGUGCUCCGUGGCAAGGCAGACUAGCAAAAAUGCCCAACCUUUACUAACAUUCGAGAAAACACUCCCAACAGGAUUACUUUCUCAAAAAUUGAAGAGACACUGCUCUCUGAAUCUCAAGAGUCAGACUCCCAACAAGAUUGCUUUCUCAAAAAUUGAAGAGGCACCGUUCUCUGAAUCUCGAGAGCCAGAUCCCCGACAAGAUUGCUUGUUCGAAAAUCGAAGAGGCACCGCUCUCCGAACUUCGAGAGCCAGAUUUCCUUGCAUAAAGCUUUUCUGUAAUCUUCACACAUCAACUUUCCAGAUACCACAUACCACUUUUUCAAAGUGCUCUGACAAAGUUAAAACACGUGAAGCUUGUAGCUCUUACUACAUUGCUAUGACCAAGAAGGGUAAAGGAAUAACACUACUACUUGUUGUUAGGGAGACUCCUAUAUAUGUCGACCUUCAUCCCCCACAGCCAGGAAAACCUGCAAAUAUAAAAAAAUGCUCAACUUUUCUUCACAUCCGAGAGGGCACUCUCAGCAGAAUCUCUCGAAAUACUCAGCUUCUUUUCCUUCCAAUAAUACCUCUGCAAACAAGCCACACCAAAGCAAGAGUAUCUCAUACAUCAAGGUUAAAAGCAAGAGUAUCCCAUAUCAUGAUUUUUCCCUGUCUUUUCCUUUGGCCUUGUUCUUACCUGGAAGACAAGGAGAAAGAGAGCAAUCAGUCAGCACUUAGAUUCAAGCUUCCAGUCAGGAAUUGAUUGCUUGGAACCCCUUGCCUGAUUACUUACCUGGCAUUGCUCUCGAGUACUCAUCUUCAACAUCUUAUGCUUCCAGAGAAAAUACCAUAUCUGCCUGAGGAACAGAUAAGACAAGUAAGAAGGAUACAAAGAAGCAUGUGGAGACAAGACACGUGCCGAUACAUCCAUUACUUUGUCAACAGCAAAAGUAUCCCAUAUCAUCAGGGUCGAAUGUACUCUAGAUUUGAUGGACUUGUUUUGACCCUCAAAUUCUUGAGUUAGCCUUAUACUCUAAAGGAAACCAGAAAACCCUCCAGCUCAGUUCAAGAAUAAGUCUGUGGAAAGUUACUUCUUCAAAAGCAAAAGUAUCUCAUAUCAUCUCUUCUCCAUUUGCUUCUCCUUAUCUUUGUUGUUGUUUACGACACAAUGAGAAGGAGAAUAAUCAACUGAAAGCUGAAGUCAAACCUCCGAUCCAGGUUGCUUGCUUGGAAGUCUGAUUGCUUACCUUGUCCAUUACUCAUUCGGCAAAUCUCCUAGCUCGAUGACUUGGGGGACUCCUACUAUAGGGUUUAUAUCGCAUUUGACCAAGCCCAAGACUACAAGUAAGCUUCAAGUGAAAUUGAAACAUUACUUUGUGCAUCUUCAUCGGUUAAAGAUACCACCCUUGGAUGGAGGAAAAGUACUUCCAGAAAAGAUGCCACAUUUACAUAUGAGACAGAUAAGGCAAGUGAAAAUGAUACCACACUUCGGUACUUAGAAGUUUCGUGAUUACUUAAUGGCUUGGAUCUUGCAAGUCCUCAACCGAAGAGUUUCCCUUACUCGGGAACUUACGGGAGCACUAUUUGUACCAUACUUGACCAAUCCCGAAACUACUGAGCACCAGUCAACGUUAUACCGUCAAGGACCCAGAAGAGUUUCCCUCCAACCAAGAGGCCAAUCACAGCGCGACACGUGUCGACAUCAGAAGCCAAUCAUAGCACGACACGUGUCAACAUCAGAAGCCAAUCAUAACACGACACGUGUUAAUGUCAGAAUGAAACUAGAAACUCUCUUCUAUAAAUAGAGAUCAUUCUCUCACAAUAUUUCCUAAUGUCAUUUGUACUAAAUCAUUCACUAGUACUCACUAAAGGAGAUCUUAAACCUAUGUACUUGUGUAAACCCUUCACAAUUAAUGAGAACUCCUCUACUCCGUGGACGUAGCCAAUUUCAGUGAACCACGUACAUCUUGUGUUUGCUUCCCUAUCUCUAUCCAUUUAUAUACUUAUCCACACUAGUGAUUGGAGCAAUUUAGCGAAGGUCACAAACUUGACACUUUCUGUUGUACCAAAGUUCUCACUGAUUUUGUGCAUCAACACAUUGUAAGUUGUGUUGUAAAUUAAGUGGCUAGGUGGAACAAUUGUCAUUUAAUAUGUUUCGGUGGCUUAGGGAGUUGUAUUUGCAUUGAUGAAGAUGUUUUGGCACACUAGUAUAUUAGGGAAGGAGUUUGAUAUGCUAAAAGAGACAAUUUGGAAUUAUAAUUUUAUGGUAAUGAAGAAUUGAGCAUUGCUCUUCUAUCAUUCCUCUAUCUCUUUGUCGUUUUGCAUUACAUACAGUUAUGAGUUCGAAUAUAUUGGCGUCAGUUUCUUGCAAUUAGGUUUUAACUUUUAAGGUAUACCACAUCUUUUUUUUUUUUUGAGUUAAAAUUCGUCUUUUCAAUUUGAUUGGUAUAUUUCAGCUUGUUUCCUUAGUUUUAUGUUCUAAUUUCUUUUCUUUUAUUGCUAUUUUGUCAUUGAAUUUCAAUUUUUGGUGAGGGAAUCAUAGUGGUUGUUUGGCCUUAGGAUCUACAGUAUAAUAAAGUAUUAUUAUUUUGUAAAAUUGUUUAACCCAAAAGGAUGGAAGUUCCCAUCAGGCUACCUACAAAUUAGGAAGAAACCGAAUUAGGUUUGGUGUGUAUGUUUAAAGUUGUCGAAAUAGGGCUUGGCUUGAAGACUUGGUUUAUUGGAUAGAAGAAGAAGAUGAAGAAGAGAUGGUGAGGGAGCAUCCCAAUAACACGAGUUUUAAUUUUAUGGGUAUUUAGGUCAAUUCAAUCAGAUUUUUGGCUAUAUUUGAAAGAAUUUGUUAAAAUUGACAUUUGUCAAUUUAGAUGGUAAAUUUUGGUUAUAAUUGAUAAAUACUCGGGUCUUGCCAAGAACUUCUAGUGAGGCCGAUAGUUCACGUGAAUCCCCCCUAGUCUCAUUUAACUCAAUCCCAACAUAGACCAAACAUGGGACUACACUACUAAGGAGUCUAGUCCAGUCUAAUCCCACCUAAUGAGGCCAAACAAAAAUACCCUUAAUGAGUUAAAUAACUAUUUAUUGAGUUUGAAUACUUGGAUGUUAACUAAAAACAUUGCACAUGGCAAUUUGUGAUUGAACCGAGUAAGGAGCUCUUCAGUCAUGGCCUUGAGCCAUAUUCUCAAAUAAAACUAAUAGUUGUAGCAAAUUCGAAUCAACAUCAAUAAUAUCAAUAUCAGUCAUAUUUAAUAAAUUGUAAUUUGAAUUCGCAUAUAUAUUAAUAAACCUAAGAAAAAUCAAGGGUCGAAAUCAUUUCAAUAUCUAUUCCACAUAAAUAAACCAUUUUUUAAGGUAAUUUUUUGUCUUUAAAAAAAGACGUAACAUGUUCAUGUGGGUUUGAACAAGUCUAAGCAACACUCAGUUGCAAGUCCUCUAUUCCAGAAUUUUUCGAAGUAUUCAGCAUAUGUGAAGUUUCUGAACAUGGCUGGAUGGUCAUGGUUGAUGAGCUCCCUGGCAGGCCCAAUCAUUGCAUCUGGUGCUGGACAGUAGAAAGUUGGGAUCGAUAUCCUCUCCGAAUUACAAUUUACCACAGCCCUAUGCAGCACACUCUUGUACCUACUGUUGCUAAUUACCUAAUACCAAUUAAAAUGGUAAAAAAAGUUAAACUUCAAUUAACAGUUUACUCAUGUACAUGUCACAAAAAUUUUGUCCCACUACUUGGAAAAGUUUCCCUUGCUAGGGAUAAAUGAGUUUAACCAUCCCAGAGCGUGAUGCAAUCAUCUAUUAUUUCUCUCCUCAUGUAACAAAUUACGUGAGAACAAAGAUAAAAAAAAAUUAAGAUUUCACGCACACCGUGACAGAGAUAAAUUAGCUAAUGAAAAAUAUUUUGGGAGACUUUUUGACAUGCUUUUAGAAAUUCUAUGCACUAGAUCAUAGAUGGUCUUUUAGCCAUUAGAUACUUCAUUGUGAAUCCAAUAACUAAAAUUUAAUGGCCAAAAAUCUCGCUUAAUAGGAUACACUGAAACAUAGUAAAAUUUUCGAUAUUUAGACGGAUAUAAUGUAUACCUGCAUCAUAUCACCAAUAUUGACAAUGAAAGUGUUGGGAAUGGGGUUGACAGCAACCCACUUGCCAUUUCUAAGGACCUGCAACCCAGGCACCUCAUCUUGGAGAAGGAUGGUAAUUAGGUUAGCGUCAGUAUGUCCAGGCAAUCCAUAAGUCAGCUCUGGCUGUGGACAUGGUGGAUAGUAAUUCAAAGCCAUAUGCUGUCCUUGCUUUCCCAAUGCCUUAACAAUAUAGUUCUUUUCCAAGCCCAAGCUCUCUGAUAUGGCCUCAAGCAAUCUCAGCACUAAUCCUCUCACACUUGUGCAGUACUCACCCACUUGCUCCCUGUGAACAAACAAAGUGCCAGCUCAUUCAAUUGUAUGACUUAAUUUAUUAAUAAAAUAACUCUUGCAGAGCAAUGUUUUCUUGUCACACUGUAAAUUUAGAUCAUUAGUUGGUUUUUUGUCAAAAUCUCUAGUUCAUAUUCAAUUUUGACAUGAGCAUUUGUUUCGCAAACAAAGGAGCGCCGCACCCCUAUUUAACUAAGUUAAUGAAUUUAAUUUGGAUAAUAUGCUCUUGUUAGACUAUGUAUAUCUGUUUAGAUUCUGACAAAUAUAAGUCUGGUAAGAGAACGUUAGUCGGUUUGAAUAUUUGAGUACUAACAGAAGACGAUGAGAAAGAGGCACCCCCUAUUUACCUGAACAACGGGGGAUUGUUAGGCCAUUCUUGGACAUAGUCUUGAAGUGGGAAGCAAUGCAAUCUAAGGAAGUCCCUCCAGUUGGACAAUUUUUCAGUCCUGACAUUGAAACUGGUGGAGAGCCUGGUGGUCUUAAAAGGGUCAUCUGAGUACAUCUUCAACCUCUCACUUUCUGGAAAUUUGAAAAACUCUCUUGCUAUACUCAACAUGUUUUUUAUCAUUGUCUCUGGAACUCCAUGAUUUUUCACCUGGUAAUAAAAAGGUUGGUGCAUAAUUUAGUUAUUUUAUAUAAGGGACACUUUGAAUGCGGUCCUUAACUACCAAUGUUCUUUGAUUGAAACCUUGGUGGUUUUUAACUUUUGAUUGAAGUCCCUCACAUUAAUGUAAUUGUCACAUCCCGGCCUGGGGUGGACCACUUCCUGGGCCCGCUCCACCACCGUAGCACGAUAUUGUCCGCUUUGGGCUUACCAUUCCCUCACGGUUUUAUUUUUGGGAACUCACGAGCAACUUCUCAGUGGAUCACCCAUCCUGGGAGUGUUCUAGCCUCCUUCUCGGUUAACUUAGGAGUUCCUAUGGAACCCGAAGCCAAUGAGCUCCCAAAAGGCCUCGUGCUAGGUAGGGAUGAGAAUAUACAUUUAAGGAUCACUCCCCUUGGCGAUGUGGGAUGUUACAGUAAUAAUAUAUUUUUAUGUAGGUUAUUAUAUUUUUAAAUUAAAAAUAUAAUUUGUAGUUAUUUAUAUUAAUGAGAUUUUAAAUGAAACCCAUAUUUUAUGGGAUUAAAAAUAUUAAAGAUGAAUUAUACUCUCCAAUAUAUUUUGUGUGUGUGUGUGUGUGUAUGUAUACAUGUGUGUGUGUAUAUAUAUAUAUACAUGGGUACGUUCAUCAAAACUAACCAAAAAAUUAUUGUACCAAAGCAUAGGUACAUUUUUCAAAAGCACAAAAAAAAAAGCCUUAAUAACAUUAUUAAAUUUCUUCUAUUAAACUUGACAUGGAUACAUUCUCAAAUUAACGAAAAUAGAAUGUAUCCAUAUAAGUUUAAAAAUGGAUUAGAGAAAAGAUUGAAUGAAAUUUUAUAUAAAAAAAAAAAAGGUACAUUUUUAACAUAUUGGUAUAUUUAAGAAUGGAUACAUAUAAGCUUAAAAAAUUGAAAUUUUUUUUAUAAAAAUUUAAUGGGUACAAACUUAUUCUAAUUUUAUUUAUUUUUAUUUGGGAAAUGUUUGAAUUGAAAAUUAAUUAGGAGUUUAAUAAGGGUGUGAGUAUUAAAACUCUAAAUCAAUUACUUUUUUUUUUAUAAAAAUUAUGUAACUUACAUGUAAUUCAUUAAUAUAUUAAUGAUAGGAACUUUGAUCAAAAUCUAAAAACUGAUAAGGUCUUAGUUAAUGGACAUUAGAUACUAGGGACUGGAAACUAAUUUUUCCUUUAUAUAAUAAGGCUAAUAGCACUCAUAUACAUACUCAGACUAAACAUGUAAUUAAGUAUAAAGUUGUCCGAAGUAUAUACAUAUGUGUGUGUGCGCAUGUGUGCUAAUUAUUACCUGGAAGAAACCAUCAGUUUGGCAUGCUAGACCAAUCUGUUGGAUAAUAUCAGAGUGCUUGGGGCUAUGGAGGUCCUUGAGAUCAAUGAGAGGAAUGGAGGAGGCAUCUGAUGUCUGAACAUCAGUGAGAUUUGGACGGUCGGAGAAGGGUCUGAUGUAGUUUGAAGGGACAUGGCUCAUACCAGACAUGAGGUCUGUGAGCAGUAGCUUUGUUGUGGAAGCCAUUUUGCUUACGACUGAAGAGAAAAGUUGCAAAACUAAGGAAACUUGCAGGUUUAGUGAACGGGGCUUUGGAUCCCUAUCCAUUUUUAUAGAAUAUGAGGAAGCACUAUUAUAUAG
rnacentral:lncRNA from 1 species